UAACAGGCCUUCGGGCGCUGACGAGUGGCGGACGGGUGAGUAACGCGUAGGAAUCUGCCUUAUAGUGGGGGACAACGUGGGGAAACCCACGCUAAUACCGCAUACGCCCUACGGGGGAAAGCGGGGGAUCGUAAGACCUCGCGCUAUGAGAUGAGCCUGCGUUAGAUUAGCUAGUUGGUAGGGUAAAGGCCUACCAAGGCGACGAUCUAUAGCUGGUCUGAGAGGACGAUCAGCCACACUGGGACUGAGACACGGCCCAGACUCCUACGGGAGGCAGCAGUGGGGAAUAUUGGACAAUGGGCGCAAGCCUGAUCCAGCAAUACCGCGUGUGUGAAGAAGGCCUUAGGGUUGUAAAGCACUUUCAAUGGGGAGGAAAACCUGCCGGUCAAUACCCGGUAGCUUGACAUUACCUAUAGAAGAAGCACCGGCUAACUCCGUGCCAGCAGCCGCGGUAAUACGGAGGGUGCGAGCGUUAAUCGGAAUUCUGGGCGUAAAGCGUGCGUGGCGGCUCGUUAAGUCAGAUGUGAAAG
rnacentral:rRNA from 1 species